GAUGAACGCUGGCGGCGUGCCUAAUACAUGCAAGUCGAGCGAACAGAUAAGGAGCUUGCUCCUUUGACGUUAGCGGCGGACGGGUGAGUAACACGUGGGUAACCUACCUAUAAGACUGGAAUAACUCCGGGAAACCGGGGCUAAUGCCGGAUAACAUUUAGAACCGCAUGGUUCUAAAGUGAAAGAUGGUUUUGCUAUCACUUCUAGAUGGACCCGCGCCGUAUUAGCUAGUUGGUAAGGUAACGGCUUACCAAGGGAACGAUACGUAGCCGACCUGAGAGGGUGAUCGGCCACACUGGAACUGAGACACGGUCCAGACUCCUACGGGAGGCAGCAGUAGGGAAUCUUCCGCAAUGGGCGAAAGCCUGACGGAGCAACGCCGCGUGAGUGAUGAAGAUCUUCGGAGCGUAAAACUCUGUUAUUAGGGAAGAACAAAUGUGUAAGUAACUGUGCACGUCUUGACGGUACCUAAUCAGAAAGCCACGGCUAACUACGUG
rnacentral:rRNA from 1 species